CUACUUGCCGGCGAGCGGCGGACGGCUGAGUAACGCGUGGGAACGUGCCCCAAAGUGAGGAAUAACUGCCCGAAAGGGUAGCUAAUGCCGCAUAUGAUCUUCGGAUUAAAGGAUUUAUCCGCUUUGGGAGCGGCCCGCGUCAGAUUAGGUAGUUGGUGAGGUAAAGGCUCACCAAGCCGACGAUCUGUAGCUGGUCUGAGAGGAUGACCAGCCAGACUGGAACUGAGACACGGUCCAGACUCCUACGGGAGGCAGCAGUGAGGAAUCUUCCACAAUGGACGAAAGUCUGAUGGAGCAACUCCGCGUGCAGGAUGAAGGCCUUAGGGUCGUAAACUGCUUUUAUGAGUGAAGAAUAUGACGGUAACUCAUGAAUAAGGGUCGGCUAACUACGUGCCAGCAGCCGCGGUCAUACGUAGGACCCAAGCGUUAUCCGGAGUGACUGGGCGUAAAGAGUUGCGUAGGUGGUUUGUAAAGUGAAUAGUGAAAUCUGGUGGCUCAACCAUACAGGCUAUUAUUCAAACUCACAAACUCGAGAAUGGUAGAGGUAACUGGAAUUUCUUGUGUA
rnacentral:rRNA from 1 species